AACGCACAUUGCGCCCCUUGGUAUUCCGAGGGGCAUGCCUGUUCGAGCGUCAUUAUAACCCAUCACGCCCAGCGUGGUCUUGGGGCUCGCGUCCAGCGGCCCUUGAAACCAGUGGCGGUGUCCGUUGGGCUCUAAGCGUAGUAAUCUACCCUCGCUUCUGGGCUCUGCGGGCGCCUGCCAUAACCCAACUUUCUCAGGUUGACCUCGGAUCAGGUAGGGAUACCCGCUGAACUUAA
rnacentral:misc_RNA from 1 species